rnacentral:rRNA from 1 species
GUGUCAGCCGCCGCGGUAAUACGGAGGGUGCAAACGUUGUUCGGAAUCACUGGGCAUAAAGCGCACGUAGGCGGCCCGCUCAGUCAGAUGUGAAAGCCCUCGGCUCAACCGGGGAACUGCAUCUGAUACUGGUGGGCUCGAGGAUGGUUGGGGUGAGUGGAACUCCAGGUGGAGCGGUGAAAUGCGUAGAUAUCUGGAGGAACACCUGUGGCGAAAGCGGCUCGCUGGACCAAUCCUGACGCUGAGGUGCGAAAGCUAGGGUAGCGAACGGGAUUAGAUACCCCGGUAGUCCUAGCCGUAAACGAUGGGCACUAGGUAGGGGGAAUGCCUAUGGUUUUCCCUGCCGCAGCUAAUGUGUUAAGUGCCCCGCCUGGGGAGUACGCUCGCAAGGGUAAAACUCAAAGGAAUUGACGGGGGCUCACACAAGCGGUGGAGCAUGUGGUUUAAUUCGAAGCAACGCGAAGAACCUUACCUGGCCUUGACUUGCACGGAUUAGCUCCUUGAAAGGGGAGUGACACCUCUUCGGAGGCGGAACGUGUGCAGGUGUUGCAUGGCUGUCGUCAGCUCGUGUCGUGAGAUGUUGGGUUAAGUCCCGUAACGAGCGCAACCCUUAUCGUUAGUUGCCAGCGCGUAAUGGCGGGGACUCUAGCGAGACUGCCGUUGUCAAAACGGAGGAAGGUGGGGACGACGUCAAGUCAUCAUGGCCCUUAUGGCCAGGGCGACACACGUGCUACAAUGGUCUGUACAAAGGGUUCCGAUACCGCGAGGUGGAGGCAAUCCCAGAAAGCAGGCCCCAGUUCGGAUUGCAGGCUGCAAUUCGCCUGCAUGAAGCCGGAAUCGCUAGUAAUCGCGUAUCAGCCACGACGCGGUGAAUAUGUUCCUGAGC